GCUGUCCCCGCGUAUUUUGGGAGAGGAGCACUACUACUGUGCGCGAGAUGUGCAGAAGGUGCUGCAGAACUACAAGAACUUGCAGGACAUCAUUGCCAUCUUGGGUAUGGACGAGCUGAGUGAAGAUGACAAGUUAACAGUGGCGCGUGCAAGGAAGAUGCAGCGAUUUUUGAGUCAGCCAUUCCACGUGGCGGAGGUGUUCACAGGUUCGCCUGGAAAGUACGUGGAUUUGAAGGACAGUGUUUCAGGAUUCCGGGUGAGUUAUGUUUGCUCUUGAACCGCUAUGUUUUGUGGAUCAAACGUGGUUUGUAUGUGACGCUGCAUGGUUUAUUUUAGAGCAUUUACUGGCACCCUAAACAAGGGUUUUCUUCCGCACAGGAAAUGUUUGCCGAGGUUAGAUUGUACUUGAUGCGUAGAGUAACGAAGUAGGGUUUUUGGGUUUUUGAUGGUGCGAUUCCUGAUGAGACAUCGCCGAUGUGCAGGGUGUGUUGGAUGGUAAGUACGAUGAUUUGCCUGAGCAAGCUUUCUACAUGGUUGGCGGUAUUGAGGAGGUUUCGCAGAAGGCUGAGAAGCUGGCCAAGGACAUGGCUUAAGCGAGUUUUUGCGACAUUCUUUGCCUGUUUACACACCCACCUGGCUCAUCCUCUAAUUUGCCAAAUGUUAGUUUUAAAAUACCCAAGCAGCGCACUGGAUGGGCAGCGUCAGAUGCAUCGCUCUCUUUGAUAAGUACCAGAGUUUGCAGCCACUGUAGCGUUUCUUUUCCUGUUUCUUUCUGUGACGUCAUUGGGAAGAGGAUAUACAGUAGUGGUGAACUUUGCCCUGAUGUUUCCUUUUCAAGGCUGUUCUUUUAAAU
rnacentral:lncRNA from 1 species